ACGAACGCUGGCGGCGUGCUUAACACAUGCAAGUCGAACGCUGAACCCGCUUCGGUGGGGGAUGAGCGGCGAACGGGUGAGUAACACGUGGGCAACCUGCCCCCGGCUCUGGGAUAACUCCAAGAAAUUGGGGCUAAUACCGGAUGUGACCGCUGGCCGCAUGGUCUGGUGGUGGAAAGGGUUUCCGGCUGGGGAUGGGCCCGCGGCCUAUCAGCUUGUUGGUGGGGUAGUGGCCUACCAAGGCGACGACGGGUAGCCGGCCUGAGAGGGUGACCGGCCACACUGGGACUGAGACACGGCCCAGACUCCUACGGGAGGCAGCAGUGGGGAAUAUUGCGCAAUGGGCGGAAGCCUGACGCAGCGACGCCGCGUGGGGGAUGACGGCCUUCGGGUUGUAAACCUCUUUCAGCAGGGACGAAGCGCAAGUGACGGUACCUGCAGAAGAAGCACCGGCCAACUACGUG
rnacentral:rRNA from 1 species